GGGGAGGUAGCUCAGUGGUAGAGCGCAUGCUUUAUCUGGAUGAAACUCCAGGUUCAGUCCCUGGCACUCUCCC
rnacentral:tRNA from 1 species